rnacentral:rRNA from 1 species
AUUGAACGCUGGCGGCAGGCCUAACACAUGCAAGUCGAGCGGGGUUUUCGGACCUAGCGGCGGACGGGUGAGUAAUGCGUAGGAAGCUACCCGAUAGAGGGGGAUACCAGUUGGAAACGACUGUUAAUACCGCAUAAUGUCUACGGACCAAAGUGUGGGACCUUCGGGCCACAUGCUAUCGGAUGCGCCUACGUGGGAUUAGCUAGUUGGUGAGGUAAUGGCUCACCAAGGCGACGAUCCCUAGCUGGUUCGAGAGGAUGAUCAGCCACACUGGAACUGCGACACGGUCCAGACUCCUACGGGAGGCAGCAGUGGGGAAUAUUGGACAAUGGGCGCAAGCCUGAUCCAGCCAUGCCGCGUGUGUGAAGAAGGCCUUCGGGUUGUAAAGCACUUUCAGUAGGGAGGAAGCGUUGUGUGUUAAUAGUACACAGCGUUGACGUUACCUACAGAAGAAGCACCGGCUAACUCUGUGCCAGCAGCCGCGGUAAUAC